GGAGAAAAAAAGGGCAGAGCUUUUGAAACAAAAUUUGUAUGAAUAUUUUUGUUGUUAUUCUAUAAUUUUUACAUAGAAUAAGAUUAUCAAAUCUUUAUUACAUGGUAAUUAAUUAAUAUUAUUAUUGAUAAUGGCUUGAUUGAAAAGUCUUACGAAACAGUUGUUUAAGCGCCAAGAAAUUCUAGGAAGACAACUGAGAACAGAAAUCAGGGAAAGAAGGAAGCAUUGUAGAAGAAAAUCUGGAGAAGCUUCCCUAAUUACUUCAUACUGCCCAAGAUCUCAAAGAGAAAGAAUUACAGCCACCGAUAGGAGGAACUAGGAAGUAGAACCUCAAAAGCAAGGAAGCGUUUAGGAGAAAUCCUGACCCAAAUGUAGUCUCCAAAAGAAGGCUAUUUGAGCGUCAUACGCACAGAUCCACCGGUAGCUCUCAGCUCCAUCAUCCUAGACGGCAGAAGGGAAACACCAUGGCCAUGGCGAUCUCAAUGUCAUUUAGCUAUGAAGGAUCGAUUUACAAUUUUUGUUGUGUCUCAAAUUCACGGCUCCAUGAAUCUUUUGCAACCAAAGUCGAGUGAGAAGGCCCUCCAAAAUACAACAUCAACAUCCCAACCCAUCAGAUUUCCGAAAAAAUCCUCGCUUUGAGAAAAAGGAUCUGGUAAAACCCCUCAAAUAGGAAAUUGUACAAGCAAAACCAGUGGAAAGAGAGUAAUCCAAUCGCUGGCUUAGCGAAGCAAAACAACAAAAUCCAGAAUCAAACAAGGCAAAUCCGAGAGCAAAAAGGAGAAAAGAAGACUAGAAAAAUUAUUUAUUUAAAAGGUGUACAAUAUGUAAAAAAUGUCAAAAAAUAUUAUAUUAAAAAAUAUUUAAAUUCGAUAAAGAUAAAAUUAUUUUUUUCCUAAUUUAAAUGCCAGGUGGCAUUCUGGGUGUAUCACAUAGAUACAGCCAAUAAGCUUUUUUUUUUUCCUAAUUUAAUUAUUUUUAUUUUUAUUUUUCCUAAUUUAAAAUAAAAAAAUUUAAA
rnacentral:lncRNA from 1 species